rnacentral:tRNA from 1 species
GCCCACAUAGCUCAGUUGGUAGAGCACUUCCUUGGUAAGGAAGAGGUCACCGGUUCAAUUCCGGUUGUGGGCU